AGGCGCUGUCUUCCAUAGAUUCCGGUGGCUGGCUGACGGCCAAUUGCUCUUGGACGCCGCUGGAGCUGCUCGUUUUUGAAUUUUCAGUAAUGCGGCUAGCUAUGCCAGGUGCAUUUUCUUAAUUUUCGUAAGUGCAACAGCCAAGUUCAGUUUUAGUUAAGUGUAGUACUAGUGUAGGCUUUGGGAUAUCAGUUAUAGUUCAGUAGUACUAGUGUAUGACAAACAAAUUAGAUGUUAGUAGAUAGAUGCACAAUUAGUUCAGUAAUGUCAAGUUCAGUUUUCGUUCAUUGUAGUGCUGCUCAACUUGAGUGUAGUUCGGGUAUAAAAUUUUCUAUUCACGCCUAUGUUGCAGCAGUCCGCGCGAUUGUGAUUCUCGUGUCGCUGAUAGCUUGGAGCAGUUGGUUCUGGUCCAUCUACUACUCGUGACUGGGAAGGAAGGAUCAUGUCGUUGAUAGUUCAGGUAUAAAAUUGUAUCUUCUCAUAUAGCAUUAUUUCUAACGGCAAGUGUAUUUUGGUCUACAAUAUAUCAAUCCACAUAAAGGAUGUUAUGCGAUUCAGGUUCCUAGUAAGGCCUUACUUCAAAAAAAAAUACCAACUACAAUGCUGCAGUCCUACAGUUUUAUCCAUCAAACUUAGUUUCUAUGGUUACUAUUUUUAUUAUUUCAACAACUGGUAGUGAAGUUAAGGCGAGCAUUGGAACAUUUUGAUAGCUUAGUCUUUUUGGAUGGUCCUCUAUCUGUAUAGCAUUACAAGCAACAACCACUGAGCCAUGAGAGUCUUUCUAGAUGGUACUCUAUCUACAUACUCUUACAAGAAACAACCAACAAGUUAUGGUAUAUAAUUCCAUUCUCAAAAUAACUAUCUUUGCUGCUUCUGAAUAUUUAGCAUUCAAAAUGACUUUACGAAUAUGUAAGAUUAUCCAGGAAUUCUGCUGUCAGGACAUUGGAUUUUGUAUGUGAUUGAGCUGAUGCAUUUUCUCCAAAAUCUGAAAUAGUUAAUGAUAGACAUCCUUGCCAGAUGUCAUCUAGUCUGUCUUACCAUCAUAUAACACAAGUCCCCUCUUCUGCAGCUAAAAAGAAAAGCCACACGCGAAGAAAAUAAUGCGGCUGAGUCGAGUGACUGUAUGAUUGUCACCACUGGAUUUACUGGCAAUCCGCUACUCACCCCAGUGUCCGGAAAAGUUGUUAAGAAUUAUAAAUCAAAGACUAAGAACAAUAAAGCUAGGCCUCAGACACCUACGCCAAAUGUUGAUAAGUGAAAACUUCUUGAGUGCCAUUUUCUCUGAAGUCCAAACUCUUUUUUGCCUAUUUAUUCAGGCUGCAAAUGAUUAAACAUGCACGUCCUUUCAUGUACAGGCUCACCACUCAAUCCAACAACUCCUGGUACUUGCCGCUAUGACAGUUCGUUAGGUGAUGACAAUACUCUCCAUCUAUAUGAUUUUGUUUUAGGAUGAGAUGUUACAAUUCAGCAUUCUGGAAGAACUCGAAUUUCUAGUUACUCUAGGCAGCUAUGGUAAAGUAAAUACUCUGCAUUGGCUUGCUUUUGUUAUUGGGAUUAAGUCCCUUCUUAUAGGAGAACUAACUUUCCCAUCAAGGCAAAAUUGCCUAUAAUUUUACUUUUUCACUCUUAAUUUUUGCAACAGUAUGAUACUCUAUGUAGUUCCUCAAGAUAUUGUUCUUUAUUAGGAGGAAUUAAGGGUUAAAUUUACUGGAAUAGUAAUAAAUGGGAAGUUGUCAUGUCGACUAUAAUGGCCAGUGAUAUUUAUAAUGACCAAGUGUUGUUACUGCUGAUGAUUACUAGUAAUACAACAAGAAUACAUCUGCAACCAAGGGUACAAUGUUGGUAAUAAUCUACUAUUGUUGAUGCCUUCUUGCUUGCUUGCUUGCGAAUGACCUGGGAAUUACUCCUACUUGGUGCACAACCUUUGCUUGUUGCAAUUUGCCUCAAAAGCUUGGAUUUAGAAUCUAUAAUAAGAUUUGGUCAUGCCUAGCAUUGUAUCAUUCUUAAGUUGGGUUUUCCCCAAUUUCUAGGAUUGGUCUGUUAGGUACUGCUUAUAAUUCAUAUAUACUAUGCUGCUGCUAUAUGCUUUUGUUUCUGCUAUUGUUACUUAGUGCUCUAUAGGUUACUGUUAUAUUGUAUUAAUGCUCCAGGUUCUUUUGAGUUCUUAGUAGUGGUCUUGGUUUGUUGUUUAAUUCCAGGAUUUGUGAGUUCAUAGAAGGGAACACAUAGACAUGAAGCUACGGCGGCGACGAAGACGAUAUCAACAUGGGGCUGCGGCGACGAUGAUGACGAUGACAUCGACAUCGACACAGGGCUACGGCGGCGACAAAGACGAUGACAUAGUCAUGGUGCUGCGGCGACGACGACGACGACAUCAACACGGCCUUGUGGAGGCACUGACGCCGACGACGUAGACGCGUGGCAUAUAUUGUGUGUGUGCGCGCGCGCGUGCAUGCGUGUGCACGUGUGCGUGUGUUAAUUAUCUACAUCAAAUAUGUAUGAUUGAUGAUUGACUGUAUGCAUAACAUGUAUGUAUUGUGAAAUGCAUGUCUAAAUUGAAAUAGGUAGACUUUUAUUUUUUUUAAAUCCUAAUUUGUUACUACUAGCGUGGGUGUAUCAUAGAAGCGCUACUGCUAUUCCUUUACUAGUAGCGUGGGUGUGAAAUACUAGUAGCGUGGGGCACCA
rnacentral:lncRNA from 1 species